rnacentral:rRNA from 1 species
UCCUACGGGACGCAGCAGUAGGGAAUUUUCGUCAAUGGGCGCAAGCCUGAACGAGCGAUGCCGCGUGAGUGAAGAAGGCCUUCGGGUCGUAAAGCUCUGUUGCGGGGGAAAAAGGCAUCUGCAGGAAAUGGUAGAUGACAGAUGGUGCCCCGCCAGAAAGUCACGGCUAACUACGUGCCAGCAGCCGCGGUAAUACGUAGGUGGCGAGCGUUAUCCGGAUUGAUUGGGCGUAAAGGGUGCGUAGGCGGUUGUGUAAGUUGGGGGUGAAAUCCCGCGGCUCAACCGCGGAACAGCGCUGGAGACUG